GUGGGCAACCUGCCUGUAAGACUGGGAUAACUUCGGGAAACCGGAGCUAAUACCGGAUAAUCCUUUUCUACUCAUGUAGAAAAGCUGAAAGAUGGCUUCGGCUAUCACUUACAGAUGGGCCCGCGGCGCAUUAGCUAGUUGGUGAGGUAACGGCUCACCAAGGCGACGAUGCGUAGCCGACCUGAGAGGGUGAUCGGCCACACUGGGACUGAGACACGGCCCAGACUCCUACGGGAGGCAGCAGUAGGGAAUCUUCCGCAAUGGACGAAAGUCUGACGGAGCAACGCCGCGUGAGUGAUGAAGGUUUUCGGAUCGUAAAACUCUGUUGUUAGGGAAGAACAAGUACCGUUCGAAUAGGGCGGUACCUUGACGGUACCUAACCAGAAAGCCACGGCUAACUACGUGCCAGCAGCCGCGGUAAUACGUAGGUGGCAAGCGUUGUC
rnacentral:rRNA from 1 species